GGAUCUUCAUUCCUUUGUGUAACACCAUAGAAACCAGAGAAAAUCUUCUUUAUGGCUCUACAGGGAUGAUAUUAUUUCAAGUAUAGUUUUACUCAGCACCUUAGAGACAAACUGCUGAGAAGGAAAGUGCUUUCCAGAAAAAAAUAAAAACCAAAAACAAAAACCUAAAUCUGUCUUUUAUCUGAUUGCUGCAGUCACCUUUGUUAACCAUGCAAGGUAGAUCUUCCAUGCAUUUAAAAAAAAAUAGAAAAAUUAUGUUCUUGCAUUGACUUUGCUUUACUUUUGAACCUUUAAAUUACAAAUUCCUUAAUGUCUGCCAUGGUUUCCUUCAUAUGUACCAGUAAAUCCUAUUGGUAGUCUGCAUGCAUCCUUUAUGUGAAUUUCUUAUACAUGAAUACGACUUUGAUUUAUAUUUAGGACUUACUGACCAUGUGCUCCACUUAAACAGGAGUGUGUGUUGUAAUCAAUCAUGGACCACUCUAAAAACAUUUUAUAAAAGCACUACAAGGCCCUAGCAUAGCAGAAACUAAGGGAAAACACCUCCCUACUGCAAAUUUUCAGUUUAUACUUUCUAGCAUGGGUAAAUGAUAUUUUAAAGGUGUUAUUUAAAAAUGUUUAUUUUAACUUGUAAGUUCAUUUAUCUCCUUUACUCCAUGUGGGUGGGGUUUCAAUACAAACAAUCACACAUGACAGAAUGAAUUCCUUUACACUGGAGAGAUUUGUUGAAUACUUUGCAUGUCUACAGGGAAUACCAGUAACUGAUGAAGACUGCCAGCAACACAGCAACAGCCUGUUCAAACUGCAAAUAGAAGUUUUGAUGGUUUUGCAUCAACAGGAAACAAGUCAUGAGCUGAGAGAGCCAAGUAUGAAGCCCAGCCGCUCUGAAGUGGGAUUCGGGCAUCUGAACUACUAGGCUAAGUUCUGGUACCCAUCUCACUAUUUUUACUGUCCACCUGAUGGGACAACGCCCUUAUGUGCCUAUAUUCUUCCCACUAUCCUUCCUGUCCAUCUGAUAUAACAACACCCUUAUGUGCCUGUACCCAUCCCACUAUGCUUCCUGUCCACCUGAUAUGACAACGUCCUUAUGUGCCUGUACCUGUCCCACUGUGCUUCCUGUCCACCUGAUGUGACAGUGCCCUAUGUGCCUGUACCCAUCCCACUAUGCUUCCUGUCCACCUUAUAUGACAACGUCCUAUGUGCCUGUACCUGUCCCACUGUGCUUCCUGUCCACCUGAUGUGACAACACCCUGAUGUGCCUAUAUUCUUCCCACUAUCCUUCCUGUCCAUCUGAUACAACACCACCCUUAUGUGCCUGUACCCAUCCCACUAUCCUUCCUGUCCAUCUGAUGUGACAAUGCCCUAUGUGCCUGUACCUGUCCCACUAUGCUUCCUGUCCACCUGAUGUGACAACGUCCUAUGUGCCUGUACCUGUCCCACUGUGCUUCCUGUCCACCUGAUAUGACAACGCCCUAUGUGCCUGUACCCGUCCCACUAUCCUUCCUGUCCAUCUGAUGUGACAAUGCUCUUAUGUGCCUGUACCUGUCUCACUAUCCUUCCUGUCCAUCUGAUGGACAAUGCCCUUUGAGAUGAUUUCAGUGUGUCCCCCAGAUCUCCUAUGCAUGCUUAAUCCCAUGUGUGUAUUUCUAUGUCAGUUUGAUUAUGUUCUUCCACUUAUUUACCUGUUAUGAUUAGAUUCAACUGUUUCUAGAUGACCAUCAAACCCAUAUAUGAAUCUCUUAAAUUCACUAACUGUAUUUUUCAGUUGCACCUUCAAAUUGGUUUGGUAUCCAUUCCCUAGCCAAGAUUAUAAUUCUGCCUUUAUAUCUCUGUACUGAUCAAUUUUAAAAUCUGUAUUUGAAAGAUUAUUUGGACUCUUUCUGAAUAUAUUUCUAUCUUUUAUUAUGUUUACAUGGUAAUCUUAUAUCCUAUAUAUGAUUUUUGUUUUUACUAAAUGUAAAAUUUAUAAUAAAUGGAGGCAUCAAAUAAAGAUUUAGUUUUUA
rnacentral:lncRNA from 1 species